AUUGAACGCUGGCGGCAGGCCUAACACAUGCAAGUCGAGCGGAUGAAGGGAGCUUGCUCCUGGAUUCAGCGGCGGACGGGUGAGUAAUGCCUAGGAAUCUGCCUGGUAGUGGGGGAUAACGUCCGGAAACGGGCGCUAAUACCGCAUACGUCCUGAGGGAGAAAGUGGGGGAGCUUCGGACCUCACGCUAUCAGAUGAGCCUAGGUCGGAUUAGCUAGUUGGUGGGGUAAAGGCCUACCAAGGCGACGAUCCGUAACUGGUCUGAGAGGAUGAUCAGUCACACUGGAACUGAGACACGGUCCAGACUCCUACGGGAGGCAGCAGUGGGGAAUAUUGGACGAUGGGCGAGAGCCUGAUCCAGCCCUGCCGCGUGUGUGAAGAAGGUCUUCGGACUGUAAAGCACUUUAAGUUGGGAGGAAGGGCAGUAAGUUAAUACCUUGCUGUUUUGACGUUACCAACAGAAUAAGCACCGGCUAACUUCGUG
rnacentral:rRNA from 1 species